rnacentral:lncRNA from 1 species
AAGCUCUACCAACCACACACAGCUGAGGAGCAAGGAUCUUUUCAGUCUAUCCAUCUCUUUCUUUGCAGACUUGUAGAGAAUCCUUAAGUCCAUUCAGAGACCAAAGGGAGCACGCUGUUGCUGAUAAAGAGAGGAGGUUCAAAGACAAGGGGCUUCAUGGUGCUGUGAUUCUGUAUGAACACAAAGGAGCCUGUCCCAAGAAAGGAUUCCUGAUGGGAUAUUUCCUGUUCACAUUACUGUCUUUCUCAUGAGAAUCCACUGUCAGACCCCAUGCCUCCUUGUGGUCUCUGACAGAUGGUGGCAUCCAACUGGACCCUGACUGAGCAAAGUAAGGAGGAGUCAGUGACAUGAGACGAUACUGGUGGUGCUGGAGUGUGAGGCACAAUCCACAGCCAACACUCAUGUUACAAGAACUGCAACAAGAAAAAAAAAUACUUGUGUGAUUGCUUGUGGCCACUCCAAAUAAAAACAAUCAAGAAUGCA